CUAAGGAGACUGCCGGUGACAAACCGGAGGAAGGUGGGGAUGACGUCAAGUCAUCAUGGCCCUUACGGCCAGGGCUACACACGUGCUACAAUGGUCGGUACAAAGGGUUGCCAAGCCGCGAGGUGGAGCUAAUCCCAUAAAACCGAUCGUAGUCCGGAUCGCAGUCUGCAACUCGACUGCGUGAAGUCGGAAUCGCUAGUAAUCGUGAAUCAGAAUGUCACGGUGAAUACGUUCCCGGGCCUUGUACACACCGCCCGUCACACCAUGGGAGUGGGUUGCUCCAGAAGUAGCUAGUCUAACCGCAAGGGGGACGGUUACCACGGAGUGAUUCAUGACUGGGGUGAAGUCGUAACAAGGUAGCCGUAGGGGAACCUGCGGCUGGAUCACCUCCUUA
rnacentral:rRNA from 1 species